rnacentral:lncRNA from 1 species
UUUUUUAUUUUUUUUAUUACUCAAUGAAUUUAUUACAUUUAUAGUUGUACAAUGAUCACCACAAUCCAUUUUCACAGGAUUUCCAUCUCACAACCCCAGCGCGUCCUCCCACCCCCCAAACUGUCUCCUUUGGAAACCAUACGUUUUUCAAUGUCUGUGAGUCAGCAUCUGUUCUGCAAAGAAGUUCGAUCUGUCCUUUUUUCAGAUUCCACAUGUCAGUGAAAGCAUUUGAUGUUGGUGUCUCAUUGUAUGGCUGACUUCACUCAGCAUGAUAAUUUCUAGGUCCAUCCAUGUUGCAAAAAAUGCCAGUACAUCUUCCUUUUAAUGGCUGAGUAAUAUUCCAUUGUGUAUAUGGACCACAUCUUCUUGAUCCACUCCUAUGUCGAUGGACAUUGAGGUUGUUUCCAUGUCUUGGCCAUUGAAAAUAGUGCUGCAACGAACAUUGGAGCACGUGUGUCUUUGCGAGUCAUGGUUUUCUCUGGGUAGAUGCCCAGGAGUGGGACUGCUGGAUCAAAUGGUCGUUCCAUGUUUAGUUUUCUGAGGAAUCUCCAUACUGUUUUCCACAGUGGUUGCACCACUUUACAACCCCACCAGCAGUGUCAUAGGGUUCCUUUUUCUCCACAGCCUCUGCAGCACUGAUUGUUUGUAGACUUUUGGAUGCUGGCCAUUCUGGCGGGUGUAAGGUGGUACCUCCGAGUGGUUUUGAUUUGCAUUUCUCUGGUAAUGAGUGAUGUUGAACAUCUUUUCAUGUGUUUCUUGGCCAUGUGUGUGUCUUCUUUGGAGAACUGCCUGUUUAGAUCUUCUGCCCAUUUAUUGAUGGGGUUGUUUGUGUUUUUGGUAUGGAGCUGCCGAAGGUGUUGAUACAUUUUGGAGAUGAAUCCCUUGUCAGUCGAUUCACUUGCAAAGAUGUUCUCCCAUUCUGUGGGUUGUCUCUUCGUUUUGUUUAGGGUUUCCUUGUCUGUGCAGAAACCUUUCAGUUUGAUUAGGUCCCAUUUGUUAAUUUUUGUUUUUACUGUCAUGACUCUGAGAGAUGGAUCUGAGAAGAUGUUGCUGUCAUUUAUGUGGGAAAGUGUUUGGCCUAUGUUUUCCUCCAGGAGUUUUAUAGUGUCUGGUCUUAUAUCUAGGUCUUUAAUUCCUUUUGAGUUUCUUUUUGUGUAUGGUGUUAGGGAGUGUUCUGAUUUCCUUCUUUUCCAUGCGGCUGUCCAGUUUUCCCAGCACCACUUGUUGAACAAGCUGUCUUUCCUCCAUUGUAUAGUCUUGCCUCCUUUGUCAUAGAUGAGUUGGCUGUAGGUGCGUGGGUUUAAUUCUGGGCUUUCUGUCCUGUUCCACUGAUCUAUAUGUCUGUCUCUGUACCAGUGCCAUAUGGUUUUGAUGAUUGUUGCUUUGUGGUAUAGUCUGAAGUCCGGGAGCCUGAUUCCUCCAGCUCCAUUUUUCUUUUUCAGGAUGUCUUUGGCUAUUCUGGGUCUUUUGUGUUUCCAAACAAACUUUAAAAUAUUUUGUUUGAGUUCUGUGAAAAAUGUCCUUGGUACUUUGAUAGGGAUUGCAUUGACUCUGUAGACUGCCUUGGGUAGUGUAGUCAUUUUGAUAAUAUUGACUCUUCCCAUCCAAGAGCAUGGGAUGUCUUUCCAUCUAUUUGUGUCAUCUUUGAUUGCUUUCAUCAGUGUCUUAUAGUUUUCAGAGUACAGGUCUUUUGUCUCUUUAGGUAGGCUUACUCCUAGGUAUUUUAUUCUUUUGAAUGCGAUGGUCAAUGGGAUUGCUUCCCUAAUUCUCUUUCUGAUCUCUCACUGUUAGUGUAUAGAAAUGUCGUCGAUUCUGUGUAUUAAUUUUGUAUCCUGCAACUUGGCGAAAUUCAUGGAUGAGCUCUAACAGUUUUCUGGUAGCAACUUUAGGAUUCCGUAGGUACAGUAUCAUGUCAUGGGCAAAUAGUGAUAGUUUUACUUCUUCCUUUCCGAUUUGGUUUCCUUUUAUUUCCUUUACUUCUCUGACUGCCAUGGCUAGGACUUCCAGAACUGUGUUGAAGAGUAGUGGCGAGAGCGGACAUCCUUGUUCCUGAUCUCGGCAGGAAUUCUGUCAGCUUUUCACCGUUUGAGAAUGAUGUUUGCUGUGGGUUUGUCACAUGUGGCCUUUCUGAUGUUGAGGUGGGUUCCCGUCAUGCCCACUCUCUGAAGGGUUUUUAUCAGAAAUGGGUGUUGGGUUUUGUCAAAGGCUUUUUCCGCGUCUAUGGAGAGGAUCACGUGGUUUUUAUUCUUCCGCUUGUUAAUGUGGUGUAUCACACGGAUGGAUUUGUGGAUAUUGAAGACCCCUUGCAUCCCUGGGAUAAAUCGCACUUGAUCAUGAUGUACAAUCCUUUUAAUGUCGUGUUGGAUGCGGUUUGUUAGUAUUUUGUUGAGAUUUUUUGCAUCUGUGUUCAUCAGUGAAACUGGCCUGUGGUUUUCUUUUUUUUGGUGGUAUCUUUGUCUGGUUUUGGUGUCGGGUGAUGGUGGCCUCAUAGAAUGAGUCUGGGAGUGUCCCUUCCUCUGCAGUUUUUUGGAAUAGUUUCAGAAGGAGAGGUGUUAGCUCUUCUCUGAAACUUUGAUGGGAUUCUCCUGUGAAGCCAUCUGGUCCUGGACGUUUGUUUGUUGGACGUUGUUAAAUCACAGUUUCAGUUUCGGUUCUUGUGAUUGGUCUGUUCAUCUUUUCUAUUUCGUCUUGGUUUUUAGUCUUGGAAGAUUGUGCCUUUCAAAGAAUUUGUCCAUUUCUUGUAGGUUUUCUGUUUGAUUGGCGUAUAGUUGCAUAUAUAGUAGUCUCUUAGGCUCCUUUGUGUUUCUGUGAUGUCUGCUGUUACUGCUCCUUUUUCAUUUCUACUUUUCUUGAUUUGAGUGCUCUCUCUCUCUUUUUCUGGAUAAGUCUGGCUAAGGGUUUAUCGAUUUUGUUGAUCUUUUCAAAGAACCAGCUUUUCGUUUCAUUGAUCUUUUCGAUGGUUUUCUUUGUUUCUAGUUCAUUGGUUUCUGCUCUGAGCUUGAUGAUCUCUUUCCUUCUGCUGACUUUAGGUCUUGUCUGUUCCUCUCUCUCUAGGUGCUUUAGAUGUAAAGUUAGCUUGUUUAUUUGAGCUUUUUCUUGUUUCCUGAGGUGGGCUCGUAUUGCUGCGAACUUUCCUCUUAGAAUGGCUUUUGCCGUAUGUAUCCCAUAGGUUUUGGAGUGUCGUAGCUUUGUUGUCAUUUGCUUGUAGGUAUUUUUUAAUUUCCACUUUGAUUUCUUCAGUGAUCCAUUGGUUGUUUCGUAACAUGUUGUUGAGUCUCCCUGUGUUUGUGUUUUUUGCAGUUUUUUUCUUGUUGUUGAUUUCCAGCCAUAUAGCGUUGAGGUCGGAAAAGAUGCUUGACAUGAUUUCAGUUUUCUUAAAGUUCCCGAGAUUUGAUUUGUAGCCCAGGAUGUGAUCCAUGUUAGAGAGUGUUCCGGGUGCAGUUGAGAAGCAUGUGCAUUCUGUUGCUUUUGGAUGGAAUGUCCUAUAAAUAUCUAUUUAGUCCAUCUGGUGUAAUGCAGCAUUCGGGGCCUGUGUUUCCGUAUUGAUUUUCUGUCUGGAUGAUCUGUCCAUAGCUGAAAGUGGGUGUUAACGUCCCCCACUAUUAUUGUGUUAUUGUUGAUCUGUGCUUUUAAGGUUGUUUGUUAGCAGUUGCCUGAUGUAUUGUGGUGAACCUGUGUUGGGUGUGUAGAUGUUUAAAAUGGUUAUAUCUUCUUCUUGGAUUGAUCCUUUGAUCAUUAUGUAGUGACCUUCCUUGUCCCUUAAAAUAGUCUUCAUUUUAAAGUCUAUUUUGUGUGUUAUGAGUAUUGGUACUCCAGCUUUCUUUUGAUUCCCAUUUGCAUGGAACAUUUUCCUCCAUCCUCUCAUUUUCAAUUUGUGUGUGUUCCUAGAAGUGAAGUGGGUCUCUGGAAGACAGCAUAUGUAUGGAUCUUGCUUUUGUAUGCAUUCAGCCGGUCUGUGUCUUUUGGUUGGGGCGUUCAGUCCGUUAACAUUUCGGGUAAUUAUUGAUAUGUAUGUUCUUCUUGCCAUUUUAUUAAUUGCUUUGGAUUUGUUUGUGUUGCUCUUUUUUCUUCCCUUCUUCUCUUGUUCUCUCCUCUUGUGGCUUGAUGACUAUCUUUAGUGUUGCAUUUGAGUUGAUGUUUCUUAUUUUUUUGUGUAUCAGUUGUAGAUGUUUGGUUUGCACUUAUUCUGAAGUUUUGAUAUAAGAGUCUCUCUCUAUAUGAGAUAGUUUUAAGUUGUGGGUCUCUUAAUUGCAAGUGCAUCUCCAGUGUCCUGCAUUUGUACGCUGCUCUUCUCAGGAUGUCUGAUUUUGGUGGCCUAAUUGUGCGUGGGUGAUUUUGUAUCUUUACUGUAUGUAUACCUUGACUGGUGAGCCUUGUCAUCUGUGGAAUUUUUGUUUCCUGUUGUGGCCUUUUCUCUUCUGCCUGGAGAAGUUCCUUUAGUAUUUGUUGUAAAGCUGGUUUAGUGUUGCUGAAUUCUCUCAGCCUUUGCUUAUCUGUGAAGCUUUUGAUUUCUCCUUGAAAUCUGCAUGAGAGCCUUGCUGGGGAAAGUAAUCUUGGUUGGCGGUUUUUCCCUUUCAUCACGUUGAGUGUAUCAUGCCACUCCCUUCUGGGCUGCAGAGUUUCAGCUGAAAAAUCUGCCGAUAACCUUAUCGGGGUUCCCUUGUCUGUUAUUUGUUUCUUUUCCCUAGCUGCUUUCAGUAUUUUCUCUCUGUCUUUAAUUUUGGUCCGUUGGGUUAGUAUGUGUCUCCUUGGGUUUCCUCCUCGGGUUUAUUUUAUAUGGUAGCCGUUGCGCUUCCUGGAUUUGAGUGAGGGGUUCCUUUCCCAUGUUGGGGAAGUUUUUGGCUAUUGUCUCUUUGAGUAUUUUUUCUGUCCCCUUCUCUCUCUCUUCUCCUUCUGGCACCCCUAUGAUACGGAUGUUGGUGCGUUUCACGUUGUCCCAGAGUUCUCUGAGACUCUCUUCAUUUGUUUUCGAUCUUUUUUCUCUUUUCUGUUCCCGAUCCGUAAUUUCCACUCGUCUGUCCUCCACCUUGCUUAUUCCUUCUUCUGCCUCCCGUAUUCUGCUGUUAGCUGCGUCUAGUGAAUUUUUUAUUUCAGGUAUUGUAUUUUGCAUCUCUUCUUGUUCACGUUUUCUAUCUUGUAUCUCUUUGGUCAGCGUUUCCUGUAAGUUAUCCGUCUUUGCCUCCAGUUUAUGUCCAACGUCUUGCAUCAUCUUCAGCAUCAACAGGCUCAAGUCUUUUCCCUGGAGGCUGAGAAUCUCCUGAUCACUUAGCUGAUUUUCGGUGGUUUCUUCUUUCGCCCUCAUCUGAGUUACAGUUUUGUGUCUUUUCAUUUCGAUAGUUUUUUGGUGUGGUGAUCUUUUUACAGAUAAUAGAGUUGUAGCCUCUCUUGCUUCUGUUGUCUGCCUCCCUUGUGGCUGAAGUUGGUAUGGGGGCUUGCUGUAGGCUUCUUGAUGGGGGUGGGUGCUGAUGCCUGCCCAUGGGUAGGUGGAGCUGAUUCCUAUCCCUCUGGUGGGUGGCGCUUAGUCUCUGGAUGGGGUUAGCGGCUGCUGUGUGCCUGGGGGGUCUUUAGGCUGCCUGUUUACUGAGGGGCAGGGCUGUGAUCCGACCUGGACUGUUGUUUGCCCUGGGGCUUCUCAGUGCUGAUGAGUGGGGCAAGGUUUUCCCAAAAUGGCCCCCUCCAGAGAAAGGCACUGCUGUUGAAUAUUCCCAAGAGUUCUCCUUCCAAUGUCCUUCCCCCACAACAAGCCACAUUCACCCCUGUUUUCCCAGGAUGUCCUCCACGAACUGCAGUCAAGUUUGACCCAGAUGCCUAUGGAGACUUUGCUUUGCCCUGGGACCCAGUGCACGUGAAAGUCUGUGUGUGCCUUUUAAGAAUGGGGUCUCCGUUUCCCCCAGUCCUGUAGAGCUCCCGCGCAAAGUCCCACCGGUUUCCAAUGCCAGAUGCUCCGGGGGCUCUCUGUCCCAGUGCCGGAGCCUCCCACGUGGGAGUGUGAUGUGGGGCUCAGAGCUCUCACUCCUGUAGGUGAGUCUCUGUGAACCAGUGAGUUUCCAGCCUGUGCAGCUUCCCACCCAGGAGGUAUGGGGUUGUUUAUAUCGUGAAAUAGCCCCUCUUACCUCUUGAUGUGGCCUCCUCUUUGUCUUCUGGAGUAGGAUAUCUUUUUUAAGGUUUCUGGUCCAUUUGAGUGAAGAUUGCUUAGCAUUUAGAUGUAAAUUUUGUUGUUUUUAGGAGAGAAGUUGAGUUCCAGUCCUUCUAUUCCGCCAUCUUAAUCCCAUCU